AAGGAUUGGAAGUGCAUUAUUUCCAUGCUCUUGGAUGAGAAUCCAAUGGUUGAGCUUACUGAUGAUGAUGCAACAAAUUUGGUUAGGCUUCUUUUUGCAUCUGUCCGUAAGGCUGUAGGAGAAAGGAUUGUUCCAGCUUCUGAUAAUCGAAAGCAAUAUUACAAUAAAGCUCAGAAAGAAACACUUGAAAACAAUAGAAGAGAUAUUACAAUGGCCAUGAUGAAGAACUACCCUCUGCUUUUACGGAAAUUCAUGGCUGACAAAGCAAAAGUACCAUCACUGGUUGAGAUAAUCAUGCACAUGAACCUGGAGCUUUAUUCCCUAAAGAGACAGGAACAGAAUUUCAAAAACGUUCUUCAGCUCAUGAAGGAAGCAUUUUUUAAACAUGGUGAGAAGGAGGCACU
rnacentral:misc_RNA from 1 species